UUGACCUCGAAUCAGGUAGGGAUACCCGCUGAACUUAAGCAUAUCAAUAAGCGGAGGAAAAGAAACCAACCGGGAUUACCUCAGUAACGGCGAGUGAAGCGGUAACAGCUCAAAUUUGAAAUCUGGCUCCUACGGAGUCCGAGUUGUAAUUUGUAGAAGAUGCUUUGGGAGGUAGGGCCGGCCUAAGUUCCUUGGAACAGGACAUCAGAGAGGGUGAGAAUCCCGUAUGUGGCCGUGACCUACGCCCGUGUAAAGCUCUUUCGACGAGUCGAGUUGUUUGGGAAUGCAGCUCAAAAUGGGUGGUAAAUUUCAUCUAAAGCUAAAUAUUGGCCAGAGACCGAUAGCGCACAAGUAGAGUGAUCGAAAGAUGAAAAGCACUUUGGAAAGAGAGUUAAACAGUACGUGAAAUUGUUGAAAGGGAAGCGCUUGCACCCAGACUUGGGCGUCGUCGAUCACCCGAGGUUCUCCUCGGUGCACUCGACGAUGCACAGGCCAGCAUCGGUUUGGGUGGUUGGAGAAAGGCUCUAGGAACGUAGCUCUCUUCGGGGAGUGUUAUAGCCUAGGGCGUAAUGCAGCCCAUCCGGACCGAGGACCGCGCCUUCGGGCUAGGAUGCUGGCGUAAUGGUUGCAAGCGACCCGUCUUGAAACACGGACCAAGGAGUCUAACAUCUAUGCGAGUGUUUGGGCGUUAAACCCAUACGCGGAAUGAAAGUGAACGCAGGU
rnacentral:rRNA from 1 species